AAUUUUUUCCCUUUUUAUAAUAGAUAAGAUCUUAAAAUUCAUAGAAUUUGGCAGUAGUUUAAUCUAAUCAGAGGAACUUGUUUAUAAUCGAUACACCUCGUUAAUAUUUCACUUAUUUUAAAAGUUUGUAUAUUAUCAUUAAAAGAUUAUUUAAAAAAAAAUUAUUGAAAUUAAAAAAAUUAAUAAAAUUAGAUCAAAAUGCAACUCAUAAAUAAGAAAAAAUGAGUUACAAUAAAUUUUAUUUAUGUUGGAUUAAAAUAUGAAAUUAUUUUAUAAAAUAGGAUUUGAUUGUAUUUAUAAUAGAUUAAUAAACUAUAAAGAAAUUAGACCUAAAUUAUGUACAC
rnacentral:rRNA from 1 species